UAUGAAAGAGUGCUUGGUUCGUGACGUC
rnacentral:piRNA from 1 species